GGAGACCCCUGGGGAGGAAAAAAGGACUAGCUUGGGCUCGUGACCGUAAUGACUUAAUAUAAUUUACACGAGGAACGAAAUAAUUUAUGCUCCACCACGCAUCGUUUAUUUUAUUCAGAUAUCCGGCAAAAGAGAUAAUCACCCGACUCUGGAAAACAAGAACGCUGAUCGCACUAACGAAUGGCGCGUAUUCGAAGGCAGAAGUCUUUUCAUGCAGAAAAAUUAGACGUGGAAUAAAUGAUUCGGAACAAACACUUUGCCGAGAGAUGGCGAAGCAAGCAUCGUCGAGCACUGUUUUGAUUGGUCGAACGAGAACUCCGUCGGUGGAGCGAACUGACAUUUUUCAUAACCUCAAAAUAUUCACUACACUCGAUGAAAUAAUUCUGUUCUCCGCGAACCUAAAAGGAAACGGAAAGCGCGAUCGAACGUGUUUUUAACUUCGAAUCAUUUGAAUUCGCUCGUAGUUCAGCAACGUCCGAGCCAAACUGCUCGAUUCCCUUGGAGGUGUCCGAGUGUUGCAAUUCAUGAGAUACGUUAGUGAGAGACGUGGAAGCGGCGAGAAUUAUGUCACACACGAUACUCGAAGCAGCUCGUUUUCCUCGGCUCUCUAUGUAACGUCACGUUUUCGCUAUCGUCGCUACGUGUGGGAUUCGUUACACACGCUAUAUAAGUUAAUGUGUCGUCCGACGCUCAAAACACACGGGACUUUUUACCACGCGUUACGAAUACCGAACUAAAGUGUAUUCAUAUGUAUAUUAUGUAUUUACACAUGUAUUAUGUAUAUGUAACGUAACACGUGGCAAGCCUCAACCAAGUGAGUCAGUUCUGAUCGAAUAUUGAAUUUAGAUAAGAAUAAAAAUACAAAUAAA